rnacentral:miRNA from 1 species
GGCCUCACCAACCGGAAGGAAUCCUUUCCGGUCGAUGAGGUUGUUAUACCUCAUCGAUCGGAAGGAUUUCCUUCAGAUCGAUGAGGUACAACAACCCCAUCGACCGGAAGGAAUUCCUUCCGAUUGAUGAGGUGGAACAGCCUCAUCGACCGGAAGGAAUCCCUUCCGGCCGAUGAGGCC